rnacentral:rRNA from 3 species
UUAAAUUGAAGAGUUUGAUCAUGGCUCAGAUUGAACGCUGGCGGCAGGCCUAACACAUGCAAGUCGAACGGUAACAGGAAGCAGCUUGCUGUUUCGCUGACGAGUGGCGGACGGGUGAGUAAUGUCUGGGAAACUGCCUGAUGGAGGGGGAUAACUACUGGAAACGGUGGCUAAUACCGCAUAACGUCGCAAGACCAAAGAGGGGGACCUUCGGGCCUCUUGCCAUCAGAUGUGCCCAGAUGGGAUUAGCUAGUUGGUGAGGUAACGGCUCACCAAGGCGACGAUCCCUAGCUGGUCUGAGAGGAUGACCAGCCACACUGGAACUGAGACACGGUCCAGACUCCUACGGGAGGCAGCAGUGGGGAAUAUUGCACAAUGGGCGCAAGCCUGAUGCAGCCAUGCCGCGUGUAUGAAGAAGGCCUUCGGGUUGUAAAGUACUUUCAGCGGGGAGGAAGGUGUUGUGGUUAAUAACCGCAGCAAUUGACGUUACCCGCAGAAGAAGCACCGGCUAACUCCGUGCCAGCAGCCGCGGUAAUACGGAGGGUGCAAGCGUUAAUCGGAAUUACUGGGCGUAAAGCGCACGCAGGCGGUCUGUCAAGUCGGAUGUGAAAUCCCCGGGCUCAACCUGGGAACUGCAUUCGAAACUGGCAGGCUUGAGUCUUGUAGAGGGGGGUAGAAUUCCAGGUGUAGCGGUGAAAUGCGUAGAGAUCUGGAGGAAUACCGGUGGCGAAGGCGGCCCCCUGGACAAAGACUGACGCUCAGGUGCGAAAGCGUGGGGAGCAAACAGGAUUAGAUACCCUGGUAGUCCACGCCGUAAACGAUGUCUACUUGGAGGUUGUGCCCUUGAGGCGUGGCUUCCGGAGCUAACGCGUUAAGUAGACCGCCUGGGGAGUACGGCCGCAAGGUUAAAACUCAAAUGAAUUGACGGGGGCCCGCACAAGCGGUGGAGCAUGUGGUUUAAUUCGAUGCAACGCGAAGAACCUUACCUGGUCUUGACAUCCACAGAAGAAUCCAGAGAUGGAUUUGUGCCUUCGGGAACUGUGAGACAGGUGCUGCAUGGCUGUCGUCAGCUCGUGUUGUGAAAUGUUGGGUUAAGUCCCGCAACGAGCGCAACCCUUAUCCUUUGUUGCCAGCGGUUAGGCCGGGAACUCAAAGGAGACUGCCAGUGAUAAACUGGAGGAAGGUGGGGAUGACGUCAAGUCAUCAUGGCCCUUACGACCAGGGCUACACACGUGCUACAAUGGCGCAUACAAAGAGAAGCGACCUCGCGAGAGCAAGCGGACCUCAUAAAGUGCGUCGUAGUCCGGAUUGGAGUCUGCAACUCGACUCCAUGAAGUCGGAAUCGCUAGUAAUCGUGGAUCAGAAUGCCACGGUGAAUACGUUCCCGGGCCUUGUACACACCGCCCGUCACACCAUGGGAGUGGGUUGCAAAAGAAGUAGGUAGCUUAACCUUCGGGAGGGCGCUUACCACUUUGUGAUUCAUGACUGGGGUGAAGUCGUAACAAGGUAACCGUAGGGGAACCUGCGGUUGGAUCACCUCCUUACCUUAAAGAA